CUUCCUGGUUCAGUGCACAGAGGGCUGGGAACAGAGAGAUGUUGAGGAACAAGAGAAAAAUAGUGAUUGCAUUGCUUGACAUGAUGAGGGCUUUUAAUCAAGGAUUUAGGGUUUUUGCAAGGUAAAUCCAUUGUAAUCCAAGCUCUGAAAAGGACAGAACAGCACCCAUUAAAAGAGGUGGACACCACAACCUUUUCUGCAGUUAUGAGCAUUAUAAAACCUUUGUACAACUUGAUGGAUGCAAUGGGACCAAAUAUUCAGUUCUGCAAGGACAGCAUGGGAUAAGAAUCUGAUGGAGAUGGACGUAUAUCAAUUCCCUACAAAUACUAAUUCCAAAACCACUAUGUGAUAUUCUUGCACGUCACAUUCACGGACCAUACACUAAAUGCUGGCUUCAUGCCUUAGAAUGCUGAUUGCCACCUACCUUAUUGUUCUGGUCAUCUGCAAUGCUGCCAUCAUCAUCAAAAUACGGCUGGUGACAAUUAAGAACUGAUCAAGAGGGGACUUCAAACCUUGGUGGGGAUGUGGAAUUGCGUCACUUCUGGUAUAUCUCUCAAUCUAAUUACCACCUGGGACCCAAAUAAUUGAAGUGGGUGUUCGUCAAUUGUCACUUCUUACACAACUCUUAACCUAACUAUAUCCCAAUGCCCCCUAAAUAAUUGAAUUGAGGAGUGCUGACAAAGGAAAACCUUCUAAUUGAUUGAUGUAUUAAUUAA